CAAUGCCGCUUAGAUUGUCGAAUCAAAAAAAAAAAAUCACCGCAAACGGUUUGGGCAAAUUAGUAACUUUAUUGCAGACGUAAAGCCACUUAUAUUCAGAUAAUUGUAUAAACAGCAAGAAAAUGUCUAAAAAAAAAGAAUUUGGACAAAAUUGGUGAGCAAACCGCUUUAUUAAUAAAGGCUUCAUCAUGUACACAUUCAAUCUCUUGUCAUACAGUUGAAUGCUACAAGAUUGAACCAAUCCACGGAUUUGGAGAAUUAUUUUAUAGUCUAACCAUGCACAUCAAAAUGGAAAUCCCAGUUAAAGAGUUUAUGAAGUUCACAAGAUGACAAGGCAAUAUACUAAUUCAGAUUAGAAACUUGGUGUUGUAUUUAUUCCAUCACCAGAAAGGUACUACAAGUCCACAGUUGUAACAGGUCCAUAGUGGAAACAAGUUAAACCAUUAUAGAGGUACAAUGCAAUUUCGAUGUGUGGUGUAUUUUGAUCCAAUUAAAUAAUCAUUCUGCGCAAUGACACUCCAACACACCGGGGGCAGUCAGCCACAGACAAGAUUGGCCACUCAGCUACAAACUCACAGGUGAAGCAACUGAUGUAAUGGCGGGUUGCACAACCAUAUCCUCACAGGAAAGCUGAAACUUGCACUCUUCAUCAUCUGCUUAUUAUAUAUAUAUAUAUAUAUAUUUAUAGAUAUAUAUAUUGAGAGAGAAAUCAAAGAAAAACAUCUGGAAUUACUAAUGCCUAUAAUAAUUGUACCACUCAAAGUAAUCAUAAUGAGAAUGGGGUUGUACAAAAGCUUUGCCACCAGUGUGCCCGCGGGCCCCUGGGGUCCACGGGGGGCCCCUGGGGUCCACGGGGGGCCCCGGGGGCCCCGGGGGGGCCAGGGGGGGUCGUCUGUGAGCAGCGACCGGCCGCCCUGUGGCUCAGUGGCUCAGCGGCGGACGGUGGUCCAGCCGUCAUCGUCCUCGGGGGCCUCUUCCUUCUUGACGGGCGCUGGGGCUCCUUCUCGGCGGGGGGGGGCGCAGCGGCAGCGGGGGCGGCGACGGCGGCAGGAGCGGCGGCGGCGGCCGGGGCGACGGCGGCGGCCGGCGCGGCGCUGCUACGCCAGGCCGCCUUCUCCCCCUCGGCCUCUCGCACCACCUCGCGCUCCCUGGGCUUCUCGCGCUCCUCCCGCUUGUCGUCUCCGCCGCGCCGCCACAGGCUCCCUGGGGGGGAGGGGGGGGCACGCAGCACAGGGUGAGAGCUGAACCACAGGCCUGUAGCGCGGGGGGAGCCGUUACGGGGACAACACUACACACCUUGGAGCGAUGGAACCGGCCUUGGAUUUAACAAAUCGAGUUUCGCAAAAAGAAUAAGACCAUUCCAUCCGUCAUGUGGACGUGAUAAAGGUGCAUUAACUACCCCCCACUGCUGACCGUCUGACUCUAAGGCCCAAUCCCAUUUCUACCCCUUACCCCUUCCCCUUACCCCUUCAAAACAAGGGGGAGGGCUAAGGGGAAGGGGUAAGGGGUAGAAAUGGGAUUGGGCCUAAGGAGGUUGAAGAGAGCUUUAAGACCAGAGAGGGUCCACAUGCAAGGGUCCUCAGAGUCAGUCCUCACACCUCGGCAGAUGGAGUCUAUACUUUUAGGGAUUCUCGGCGGUUUACGAAGGGAAAGGGUGACAUCCAGUGGUCACUGGUGAUAACGCAGCCCUUUCUGGUCAGGUUCCAAACCCAGUGGGACGUGGUGGGGUGAACUGAAGAGAGCUAAUUAGUGUACGUUGCUGUACAACCACAGCUUGGAAUCCUAGUCUCGACGACAUAACGAGUGCACCCUACACUUUGCAACCUGGUGCACUCAAAUCAGCCAGAAAGAGGCAGUGUUAAAAAGGCUUUGAAACAAUGGCUAAGACGCCCAUCUGAGGCACGUCUUAAUUAUGAUCAUCGUCAUGUGUGUGACCGUUGGAUAGUUGUGUACAUUAUUUGAAUGAUUGAUGUCUGAUUUGCUGCUUCUUGUUCUUGCCCUCUUCUUCUGCCCCACAGGGACCACAGCGGAAAUAAGCCUUCGGGCUUUAUCGCGUCGUCCCUGACUAUUUAUGUAUUUUAAAUGAAUGACAGAGUGCUGUUCAUAUUUUAUAUACAUCAAUCAAUCAACAAUCAAUCAUCCAUCCAUCAAUCAAUCCAUGGGCCCUGUGCUCACCUUCGUCGUCUCUGGGCGCCGGCCUCGUCUCGCGCCCGGCGCGGCUCAUCGCGGCGUGGCUCGAUGACGCGGCGUUCCUGGCGUUCCUCGCGCUCCGGCUCCUCGGUGCGGCCCCUCCAGCUGCUGGUCUCCUCCGUGCCCCCCCUCCUCCAGGCACUGGCCUCCUCUCUGGAGGACACAAGGGGAGCCUGGGGGGUUAGCACUGAACCAAGCAGGGGUCCUCAAAGGUUUGACAGCUGAGGGCCAAUUUAGGAACCCAAAAUUUGACUGAGGGCCACCAAAGGAAAAAUAUAUAAAAUCAGGCGGGAAACGCCGUCAGCAUCCCAGUGGUUAACAAAACCAUUGCACCGUGGACCUCUGGGAGGGAGGUCAAGUGAGGUCUAAAUCUCGAAACUGAGGUUCAUCCUUUCAAAGUAAUGUACAGUCGGAUUAAAACUAACAAGUGUAACGGGAUUUUAUUGAAAGCUAGAGAGAGUCGACUUUUGUCUUUAUAUAUAUCUGUGGUCGUUUAAAU
ensembl:lncRNA